UACGGAAGGCAGCAGUGGGGAAUAUUGCACAAUGGGCGCAAGCCUGAUGCAGCCAUGCCGCGUGUAUGAAAAAGGCCUUCGGGUUGUAAAGUACUUUCAGUCGUGAGGAAGGUGUUAAGGUUAAUAACCUUAGCAAUUGACGUUAGCGACAGAAGAAGCACCGGCUAACUCCGUGCCAGCAGCCGCGGUAAUACGGAGGGUGCGAGCGUUAAUCGGAAUUACUGGGCGUAAAGGGCACGCAGGCGGUUAAUUAAGUUGGAUGUGAAAUCCCCGGGCUUAACCUGGGAAUGGCAUUCAAGACUGGUUAGCUAGAGUCUUGUAGAGGGGGUAGAAUUCCAUGUGUAGCGGUGAAAUGCGUAGAGAUGUGGAGGAAUACCGGUGGCGAAGGCGGCCCCCUGGACAAAGACUGACGCUCAUGUGCGAAAGCGUGGGGAGCAAAC
rnacentral:rRNA from 1 species